AUGGGAACGCGAAGAACCUUACCUAGACUUGACAUCUCCUGAAUAGUGUAGAGAUACAUGAAGCCCUUCGGGGCAGGAAGACAGGUGGUGCAUGGUUGUCGUCAGCUCGUGUUGUGAAAUGUUGGGUUAAGUCCCGCAACGAGCGCAACCCUUAUCCUUUGUUGCCAGCGGUUAGGCCGGGAACUCAAAGGAGACUGCCAGUGAUAAACUGGAGGAAGGUGGGGAUGACGUCAAGUCAUCAUGGCCCUUACGAGUAGGGCUACACACGUGCUACAAUGGCGCAUACAAAGAGAAGCGACCUCGCGAGAGCAAGCGGACCUCAUAAAGUGCGUCGUAGUCCGGAUUGGAGUCUGCAACUCGACUCCAUGAAGUCGGAAUCGCUAGUAAUCGUAGAUCAGAAUGCUACGGUGAAUACGUUCCCGGGUCUUGUACACACCG
rnacentral:rRNA from 1 species